GGAGUGAUAGAUCAAAACUUCAUAGUUUCUUUUGAGAUGUUCAUCUUGCUUAGUCGGCGAGUUGUUCCUUGUUUUGCCCUUUUCUAGUUCUAGGUGAUAGAUUUGGUUUGUUUGGUUCUUAUUAUCUUGGGUUAACUUCCUGGGUUAUUUGAUUCCAUUGAUACUUGACGAUUUAGUUCGCUCUAUUCCUUCCUUUUCUUCAUUGGUCAUCCUUAUACUAUGGAUUGGGAGGCCCUAGUUGUUCAUCACCGAGGUGUGGACUGGGUUUAUGGUUUGAUAUGCAAAUCCUUAUCAUCUCAUUUUGAUUGGUCCCUUGGACAUCCCAAGUUACUUGCUCUGGUUUUGUUCAUCUUUGGGGGUUGUUUAGAUCGAAGUGGUUUUAAUUUUUGGUUCAGGUUUAAGGUUUGGUCUUUCUCUUUGAUAUGCUUUUGCUCUUCCUUGGCUGGAUCUAGCUAGUCCUUUUAAAUCUCUUUGAUAUGUUUUUGGUUUAAGAUUUGAUUGCAGAAUCGUUGCAGGCUUGCAGCUGUCCACCGGGUUAAUGUUUUGUCUUAGUCUGAUUUGAGAUCUGUGUGUUUCGGUGCUUUUUUCGGCGACUGGCAGCUAUCCAUUGCUGUAGUUCUUUCUGCGUGUUCUUCACGCAUGAGCAGUUGUGUGGGGCUCUUUUUAGCCGUUUCAUAAUUGGCCUGGUGUCUUAAUAUUUGAUUGAGAUCUGGUGUGAUCUCUAUCUCUAAAGCAUAAUUUUUGGGAUUCAUGUGCAUGAUAUUACCAAAUUGCGUUAUUGCUUAUCUAUCAAAUUCAUAGCAAAUUGAUCUGAUAUUGCUUAACUAUCAAAUUGGGGGCAAUUUGGGGAGAGAAUUUUUUUUUAUCGUCCGCUACUUCAACUAGCGGACGACUCUAUUCCCAAUUUAAUCUCUACCCUUGAUUAUUGCAAUGGAUGGUGUAGAUGCUAUUUGCCCAAUUUUUAUCCAUAACAAAUACAUGCUAUGGAUCAUUUCCCAAUAUAUAUAUAUAUAUAUAUAUAUAUAUAUAUAUAUAUAUAUAUAUAUAUAUAUAUUCUGACUUAUGUUUGGUUAGGAAAAGUAGAAUCGAAAGAAACGUUCAUGAAGAACGGAUUGAAAUUAGCCUAUAACGAAGUAAUGGCAAAAUUUCGUAAAAGACGAACAAAAUGUAGAGAAUAAAUUAAUGAGCCCUAAUUAGUGAUUUUUCAUAAGAAUGUUGAAAAACAUUGAAAACGUGAGUCGUGAACUCAAGAACGAACGAAUUCCGAGUUCGGAUGGCCUAAGUACGGACGAACAAAUGAAGAACUUUAAUAAAGUAAACUGAACGAACGAUGAAAUUUGAGCUAACGGAAAGCCUCAUUAACAUAUUCAAAAAAUUAUUCCGAGGGGAAAUCUGAGUAUGUAAUGAAAGUAAGAAAACGACUUUGGAAUGAAUCUGUUCCGAGUUAUAACAAAGAAGUUACGAGAUUGUAAAGUAGGUGAUUCGUACGAGUUCCAACACUUAGAAAAAUGCUGGAAAAAAUUUGAGAAAUUAGCCUGGCACUGCAACGCCGGCCAAGCCUUGAAAGGAGGCGCUGCAGCGCGUCCCCGGAAGCCAGUUUCUAUUAACUGGCGUUACAGCACCAGUUUAACAAAG
rnacentral:lncRNA from 1 species